rnacentral:rRNA from 1 species
GUUCUCCUACGGGGGGCAGCAGUGGGGGAUAUUGCACAAUGGGCGCAAGCCUGAUGCAGCGACACCGCGUGAGCGAAGAAGUAUUUCGGUAUGUAAAGCUCUAUCAGCAGGGAAGAAAAUGACGGUACCUGACUAAGAAGCUCCGGCUAAAUACGUGCCAGCAGCCGCGGUAAUACGUAUGGAGCAAGCGUUAUCCGGAUUUACUGGGUGUAAAGGGAGCGUAAGCGGCCCUGUAAGUCUGAUGUGAAAAUUUGGGGCGCAACCCCAAACGUGCAUUGGAUACUGCAGGGCUUGAGUGCCGGAGG